UAGGAGGAGGCGUCCAGUGGGUGGAUAAGGUAUGUGAGAACCAACGCAACAAGCAUCAACGCGUAGGCGAUUCCUUGAUCUACAGAAGUCCCAUCGCUGGUGGGAGCAGGAGCAGGAGCCUGUGCACGAACAGAGGGGGAGAAAAUAAGGAAAAUAAGAGUGAAGAGGGCAAAAAAUCCGAGGAACGACCUUGAAGAGCCGUAACCUGUCAUUUUUGUAUAUGUUAAUGAAG
rnacentral:misc_RNA from 1 species